rnacentral:rRNA from 1 species
GACGAACGCUGGCGGCGUGCCUAACACAUGCAAGUCGAGCGAAUGAAGAUGCUUCGGGAAUGGUUUUAACGGCGGACGGGUGAGUAACACGUGGGCAACAUCACUCUUAGCGGGGAAUGGCCACCAGAAUGGGAAAUUAAUACUGAUUAGGCAUGUGGUCCAGCCUGAUAAACCAAGUAAAGUGGCAAUCCGCUAUGAGGUGGGGCCGCGGAGCAUUAGCUAGUUGGUGAGGUAAUGGCCCACCAAGGCGACGAAGGGUAGCCGAAAUGAGAGGGUGAUCGGCCACAUUGGGGCUGGGACACGGCGCGGACUCCUACGGAAGGCAGCAAGGGGGAAUAUUGCACAAUGGGGGAGACCCUGAGGCAUCAACGCCGCGAAAGUGAUUUCGUCCGGCAGGAAGUAAAGCUCGGUAAUCAGGGACGGUAAUGACGGUACCUGAAGAGGAAGCCACGGCUAACUACGUG